GACAAGAAUUAAGAACUUAGGAGAGGAAACCAGAGUAACAGUUCACCUCUGGGAUUUGGGCCAACAUAUAGGGAAGGGCCAACAGAGAAAGAACUUUGGCUCUGGAGCCACACCAGUACCCAGCACCAACCAGAAGUGACUCAGCAUCAGGCAUGGGCUUCAGUCUUCUCAAAUAAUAGCAGCUGAGAAGAUGGCAAAAGAAGGAAAGACCAGCAGUCACAGAUUAUCAACACCUCACUUUUGGCUCCAGGCAACCUGGGCGCUGGCGUUCUGACACACUGCCUGAGCUCCCCCUGCUGGCCGCUUUGCAGAAUGUCAUCAUCUGUGUCCAAAGUGGAAUCAGAUUACGCAUUUGUUCCAACCACCUUGGAAAACCGGUUCCAGAAUCGUCCCCAGCCCUGGCCCGCACAGCAGUGCCCUCAUUUGCAUGCCGCGGCUUCGUCUACCGAACGACGUUCUGCAACGCCAUUCCUCACUGCUCCCCACCGUGCUAAGCCGCUAUGCAGAUGGGCUCUCACGUCCUCUCCCGCCCAUUUCGUUUUUUCGGCUGUCUGUCUUGCCCUGCGCUCACUCAGUCCCCUCCAGCGAUCUUUGGCUGCCACCGCAGUGGGCGCUGAGCCAGGCUGUGCCAGCCCAGCCCUUCCUCGAGCACCCUAGCCCUUUCUGGUCCGGAUUUAUUUCACACACGAGGUGGCUGCUUUGCCCAGAGUGGAACAAGAGCACUUUUCCUGUACAAAGAACUGAUUUGGAUUUUCAUCUAAAAUCCACGAGUGCUAAAAGGAGAUAAAGAUAAAUCAGCAUUUUCUGCUCACUGCAGGUCAGUGAGGUUCAAGAACUUGCGGCCAGAUGGGUAAAACCAGGAUAUAGGAUGCGGAAGGCGAACAGUGAGUGACUCAUGGCCGGUUACGUAUCACACCGUGUUCUUCACCGCAUUUAAUCCUUAUAAUAACCCUCCGAGGUAGGUAUUCCGAUCCCCAUUUGUCGUAGGAAGAAACUGAGGCUUGGAGAGGUAGAAGGACUUGUCUAGCACACACUUAGGAAGUGACAGAUGCAGGUACUGAACUUUCUCUCUGGCACCAAAUGCCAUGUUCUUUCCAUGGCACCAUGCUGCCUGCUUGAUGAGCAUGCUGACUCAUUUGUGAAGUUAUGUAAGCUUGUAAAUCACAUUGAGAUUCCCAAUGUGCCCGCAUAAAAAAGGAAAAAGUAUUGCCACGACAGCUUCGGUGCACCAGUGGAGAGAGGCACCCCACUGUCUGGGAAAGGUUAUAGCAAACUGUUGAGAGGUAAAGGUCUGCCCCAGUGAAAGCCAGACGGGAGGCAAUCAUUUGUCCCUUCUCCUCCCAACCUGUUCUGUAAA